UACGUAGGGGGCAAGCGUUGUCCGGAUUUAUUGGGCGUAAAGAGCGUGUAGGCGGCCACACAGGUCAGCUGUGAAAACUCGAGGCUCAACCUCGAGACGUCGGUUGAAACCGUAUGGCUAGAGCCCGGAAGAGGAGGGUGGAAUUCCCGGUGUAGCGGUGAAAUGCGCAGAUAUCGGGAAGAACACCCGUGGCGAAGGCGGCUCUCUGGGACGGUACUGACGCUGAGACGCGAAAGCGUGGGGAGCGAACAGG
rnacentral:rRNA from 1 species